rnacentral:rRNA from 1 species
AACGAACGCUGGCGGCAUGCUUAACACAUGCAAGUUGAACGCAGAAUAGAACUUCGGUUCUAUUGCUGAGUAGCAGACGGGUGAGUAACGCGUGGGAAUCUACCUUCUUGUGAGGAAUAACUGAGGGAAACUUCAGCUAAUACCGCAUAAGCUCUACGGAGGAAAGGCUUCGGCCGCAGGAAGAGGAGCCCGCGUCAGAUUAGGUAGUUGGUGGGGUAAAGGCCUACCAAGCCAAUGAUCUGUAGCUGGUCUGAGAGGAUGAUCAGCCACACUGGGACUGAGACACGGCCCAGACUCCUACGGGAGGCAGCAGUGGGGAAUAUUGGACAAUGGGGGAAACCCUGAUCCAGCAAUGCCGCGUGAAUGAAGAAGGCCUUAGGGUUGUAAAGUUCUUUCACCUGUGAAGAUAAUGACGGAAGCAGGAGAAGAAGCCCCGGCUAACUCCGUGCCAGCAGCCGCCGUAA